ensembl:lncRNA TSPOAP1-AS1 TSPOAP1, SUPT4H1 and RNF43 antisense RNA 1
ACACCUCCCAAAAUGCAGAGAAGGCAGGGUGGCUAGGAAUGGCUCUAGUAGAAUUCUCCCCUUAUCUUGUCUGGAAACAAGGGGCAAAGAGCUAUCUAUUUCCUCCUGCCAGCCUCCUGCCCCCAACAGGAUUCCUCACAUCCCAGGACCAGCUGGAAAAGGUGGUGAGAGUUGGAAAGAGACUGCUCAGUGAGGACUGCCCUGCGAACCAGCUUGGAUUCAUCCCGUUCACCUCCACGUUCUGCACUCGGGGCCGAGGGAAGGGAGGCAGCCCAGGCAGCUAGAGAACUUGAUGAAACACACUCAAUCUGAAUCUCGCUUGAUCGUCAUGCUGACCCAGUGAGGCCUCUCCAGCCCCUGCUGGGACCACUGGCCCAGGAGGAAGUCUGGGCUCUGGCUGCCACCUGCUUCCUCUCAGGAGUUCUUCUCCCUCCCAAGCAUGGAUUUGCAUUUCCCCCUCUGCCUUCUGCUACUCAAGCCCCCAGGGAUGAGGUGACAGUUAACCCCCCACUUCCUGCUAGUGGCCCCAGAGCGCUCACUUCCUUCCAGUCUACUCAG